CAAAACUGGCCAUGCCAACUGAUCUAAAAAUAUCCCUGAAUAGAAUUCAUAACAUUUUGAUGAGGAUGAAUGACAGCUAUCAGGGUUCGUGUUUUGUAAGUACUUAGCAAUGUGCUUAUUCCCUGGCCCGUGUGGAAAAAUGUACGACAUGAGCCAGUGAUACAUGAAUGACAUCAGCUCCCAUUUCCAUGGUUCUUACAGAUCCAAAAGGAGUCAUCCCAACUGUGAAAAUUGUUGCUGUUGUCAUCACAUUUUUUGCCUGCCCUUCACUACAAGGCCCAAGGGUGGGCUACAGCAAUUUAAAAUUCAGAAUUAAAAACAGUGAACACAAACUGCAGUCACAGGAAUAGGGUGGGCAGCUCCUUAGUGCCAACUGACUAUGAAACAUUGCAGUUAUAGCAAGAAGGCAAUUUUCUAGCUUUCCUUACAUGAUCUGUGAAUGACAUUACACAAAAACAUAAGAAGAGACCUGCUGGAUCAGGCCAAUGUAAUAAUAAUAAUAAUAAUAAUAAUAAUAAUAAUAAUAAUAAUAUAUUUAUACCCCACCCACCUGGCAGGGUUUCCCCAGCCACUCUGGGCAGCUCCCAGCAGAAUAUUAAAAAUACGAUAAAAAUCAAACAUUAAAAACUUCCGUAAACAAGGCUGCCUUCAGAUGUCUUCUAAAAGUCAGAUGGUUGUUUAUUUACUUGACAUCUGAUGGGAGGGCGUUCCACAGGGCAGGCGCCACUAGCGAGAAGGCCCUCUGCCUGGUUUCCUGUAACCUCACUUCUCACAGCGAGGGAACCGCUAGAAGGCCCUUGGAGCUGGAUCUCAGUGUCCAGGCUGAAUGAUGGGGGUGGAGACACUCCUUCAGGUAUACUGGACUGAGGCCGUUUAGGGCUUUAAAGGUCAGCACCAACACUUUCAAUUGUGCUCGGAAACAUACUGGGAGCCAAUGCAGGUCUUUGGACUGGUGUUAUGUGGUCCUGGUGGCCACUCCCAGUCACCAGUCUAGCUGCUGCAUGCUCACAGUGGCCAACUAGAAGCCUACAAGAAGUCUGCAUGCAGGACCUAAGUGCUAUAGCACUUUCCUCUACUCUGGUUUCAAGCAACUAGUAUUUAGAAGCAGACUGCCUCCGACCAUGGAUUUGUCCUAAUUCUCUUUUAAAGCCAUCCAAUCUGGUGGCCAUCACUGCCUCCUAUGGGAGCGAUUCCAGCUAUGUGCUGUGUGGCAUAUAGGUCAGUUGGUAGAGCAUGAAACUCUUCAUCUCAGGGUUGUGGGUUCGAGUCCCAUGUUGGGCAAAAGAUUCAUGCAUUGGAAUGGGGUGGACUAGAUGACUCUAGUGGUCCCUCCCAACUCUGCAAUUCUUAUGUUUCCGUAUAUUUGUAACUUGCUUUCUUAAGAUUGUGUUUGUUUUCCUCCCCUUCCCCUUUUAUAUACCUGCAAGGUAGGCUUGGUUAAUAAAUGUAUUUACCAUAUUUUUUGCUCCAUAAGACCACCUAGUUUUUAGAGGAGGAAAACAAGAAAAAAAUAUUCUGAAUCAAAUGUUGUACUAAACUAUUUAAUAAACUACCGGUAUAUCAGAAUAAUAUUUCACCCAUGUAAAGUGAACAGCAGUCAACAGUGGCAUUAAGAACCAUCAUCACUGUCAUUAACAAAUGAAGAGAGACUUUAUCCCCUAGUAAGGGGAGCAGGCAAUGGAAAUAUAUGAGCAUCCCACAUUGAGUCCCUUAGCUCUAAGGACUGUAUGGUUUGGCCCUACACAAUUAUUUUAAUAAAACCAUUGCAGAUAGCUGUGGGGGCUUUCAUAUGAGGGAGGAAUGAAGGAGAAAUCUGAUUCAAUUCCCAUUUAAAGUCAAACCUACCUAAUUCACACCUUCGUACACAACACAAGGACCAAACCACAGCUGCCCUUCAAAUUUCACACUUCUGCAAAGGAGGGCACUACUGACCCGGCAAGACCAGUGGCAGAGGGAGGGUCUUGUGUGGCGGCAUGUUGCCACAGGCGACGUGGGAUGUUACCCAUGCAAGCAUCGUCCCAAGGAAGUGGCGCACGCGCGCCCAUCCCAAUGGGGUGGCCGAGCACGGAGGUGGAGGGAUUACACAGCUCCCGCUGUGCUUGCUUUACACCCGUGUAAGCGGCUCCUGUCCCGCUUUGCUGCUUUAAAGUGAGCCGUGGAGGAGGGAUGGACGAGAGCUAUGCCUCCCAUCUGUCCCUCCUUCGCGCAGCAUUCGCUUCAUAAGAUGCACAGACAUUUCCCCUUACUUUUUAGGAGAAAAAAGAGCGUCUUCUAGAGCGAAAAAUACGGUAAGCAGCAGCACUUGUCAACAGAUUGCCUGGCGAGAAUCCCUUACAGACAACUGCAGCACCUGGAGACAGAAAGUCAGGUUGUGCAUCCACAGCAGUGACCACUGUGAGGAGAACCAUGGUGCAUCUGCAAUGGCGCAACUGGACACCUUCAUCUUCCUCAGCUGCAAUAAUAAUAAUAAUAAUAAAUUAUUAUUUAUACCCCGCCCAUCUGGCUGAGUUUCCCCAGCCACUCUGGGCGGCUUCCAAUCGAGUGUUAAAAACAAUACAGCAUUAAAUAUAAAAAACUUCCCUGAACAGGGCUGCCUUCAGAUGUCUUUUAAAGAUAAGAUAGCUACUUAUUUCCUUCACAUCUGAAGGGAGGGCGUUCCACAUGGCGGGCGCCACUACCGAGAAGGACCUCUGUCUGGUUCCCUGUAACCUCACUUCUCGCAAUGAGGGAACCGCCAGAAGGCCUCAGCACUGGAUCUCAGUGUCCGGGCUGAAUGAUGGGGGUGGAGACGCUCCUUCAGGUAUACAGGACCGAGGCUGUUUAAAGCUUUAAAGGUCAGCACCAACACUUUGAAUUGUGCUCGGAAAUGUACUAGGAGCCAAUGCCAGAAGUGGGCUUGCAGAAUGCUCAAUCCACAUACAGUGUACUGGGCUCAGGAAAGUUUUUUGGCAUUCCUAAUCCUGUCCCUGAAUUGGCUGCUUCACUCUGGCCAAUGGUUGGCUGGCCCUGCUGACGCAGCAGCCAUGUCUUACUGAGGUCGCAGUGCUAGAUAUGUGCUAAAUCUUAAUCUUUAUUCCAAAACAUCAGCAGCUGGCACCUUGCCAUUAAAUAUGCAUAUCCGCACCGCUGUCAAUCUUGUCUUAGUGGAGGAUGUAUAAUUUACACAUAAUUUCAGUUUGUUGGUAGCAUUGCUCUGAUCAAACACAUCUUAAAAUUAAUAUAAUAACAAUUAGGGGGAAAACAAAUCUAAGCUGUCCUCAGGGCCAUUUGGAAUAAACAGGCUCAACAUCUCACUUCCAAACCUUGAACAGCGGGGCUCACUGCACUGCAAACUAGAGUAUUUUUCCCACCCCCAUAAAGGACUAGGUCAUAUUGUAAUGUCUUCUUCAAAAGCCAUUGACUGCUAACUUCUUAACCAUUUAAUACUGGAGCAGUGCCCUACAUCUGAAUGGGGCAACUGGAGAUGGCAGCUUUCAGGAUUAUUCUCCCCACCAGUGUUACUAUGAGGGCAAAUGCACAUCAUACCUAUCCAUUACUCUGUGCCUGCAACAUCGUUGGGCAAAGGGGCAAGUGGACCAUUGCAGCCCGGGCAGCCAGAUGAGAAACCCCUAUGUAGUGAGAGACUCUAUCAAGCUGAAUGCACAUGAUGCUGUAUUUUAAAUAUAAAAUUAAAAAGUAGGCUCGCCUCGCAGCUUCAUUGUAGAUCUUUAGGUGCCAGGUGCAAACAUUUCUCUUCAACUAGGGCUGAUUAACAUGGGUCUGCAGAAAAGGAAGUUAUUGGUUUGUUUUGCUAUGGUUUUAUGAUGUUUAUUUGCGUUUUGAUUUUGUAUUUUUAUGAUGUGAACUGCCAUGUGAUCUUUGGAUGAAGGCUGGUAUACAAAACACACACACACACACACGUUACAUUUUCCUAGUUAAUUAAUUCCUAGGGAUACAUUUUCCUAGUUAAUUAAUCAGGGUGCAAUACACACCCACCCUGGUAGGGUUUUGUGGAGUGGAAGAGUCACUACUGCAUACACAGCCCAGCUGCUUAUGGGAGCUGUGGUGGAAGAUAGUGGGCAGGAUGAUUGGGUCUGAUUCCAGCUCCAGGCUGGUGCAGUGAUUUGAGUCCAGAUUGGGCCCAGUGCAUCUGUGUGAUGCUGCUCAGAUCAGGCCCAAUGCCAGUUCAGCACCACCUCUUCCCUAUUGCAAUGCCCUGUUUGGGGGCAUUUUUGCUGGCCAAUGCUGGCAAAGAACCCACCAGCGUUCCUUCUGCCCUUACGUUCUGUGGCUCUUGGUUGCCAGAUGAGGGGGUAGAGCUGAGCAAAAGGAACUCUGCCCUUUGUACAACCCCCCAGCCCAGUGUGUGUGUGAGUCGGGGUGGGUGGGUUGGAUUGCUCUGGCCACCGGUUUAUGUCUUUCAUGUAUGAAACAGCCACACAAAAUGAAACUCUCUAGACAGAGCUUCUGUAUGAUCUGGCGUCAACUCAGACACAAUGGGUGGAUUGCCAGUUCCUGUGAGCAGAAUUCCACUCAUUGGAUGCUCUCUGCCUGCAGCCCCUUGUGUCCUCUUCACAUCCUUCCUUAGAAUAUAUUCUUUUUCAAAAGCCUAACGAGAAUUUUGGCCAGUUCUUGCAGAGAUAAAAAGAUGUGCUUUGUUUGAAAGAGAACAAUGUGGCUCCAGCCAUUCAUCUGAGGGCAAAGACCACCACAUACGUAUUGCCUGAAGGUAUUCAGCAUAUUACUUAUUUGGGAUGGAUUACCUUGUCAAACUAUAAACCAUCACUGUCUUUUACAGUGUACUGCAAGUUUAGAGUUUUCAAUAAAUCAAAGUUCGUUCUCUCUCUCUCUCACACCCACGCACACACACACACACACGCUCUAUUUUCUGCCUUAUAGGUCAGUUUUAAUUAAGACAUUUUAAUCAAGUUCCAGGUCUGGUAGCGUAAGAAUUAAUCUUGGCAGUAUUUUUGGAUAUAAACAAGCUGUCUGCUUUGUUUUUUCAAUUUAGGUUUUAAAGAGCAAAGCAGAAAUAACAUAAAAGAUCGUCAACUCCACCUCUAAUUAUGAGACUUAAGGUAACUAAUUAUGAAAGUUUUACAAAGUUUUUUUCCCCUUUACCCCAAAAUUAAUAAUUGCAAACACAUCCACAGGCAUUUUCAAGAAGGCCAGAGACAGGACAAAGGACCAAUAAAUGGAUAACAAAGAAAUCAUUUAUUAAGCCAGUGCACCAAAAAUAGAACUGAUAUGGAUCUUCAUUCCAACACCUCCAAAUUCUUAAUCAAAAUAUUUCUUUGUGAAUUUUAAUGUGAAAUAUUCUCUGGUGUUUGGAUAUUCUCCAGUUGUUGUCCAAAUAUUGCCUAUGGCCUAGUUUGCAUAUCAACCUUGACCCAAACCAUGUCUAAGUGUGAAUGUGUGAAUGAGCAAGGAUGUGAGGAUGCAGAGUGAAAAUUUUGGCUGCUUUGCUCCUUCUCAGGUCCGGUAGUUACUGCGCAACCCAGAGCCCAGUCAUGGCUUGGCUGAGUACUAUGUGGGAAUCCAGGCUCAUGAUUUUUCUUGCUGCAGAUGUAGUCAAGGUUUGAUCUUGGCUUACUGCUUAUAGUUUGUUUGCGGGAGACGUAACGUGAUCCUGAGUCCAGACAUUCUUCUAAAUCAAAGUAUAGCUUAGUUCAGGAUAAAAUGACAGCAGCAGGAAUAGGGGAGGAGUGAAGUGGCUGGUUGUUCAUUCUGUCGACCCACAUGUUUUCCUGUCCACCUGAAGGUCAUGUUCACUUCAGAAGAUAUUUUACAAUUCACAGCUGAUUAGAUUUCCUAUGUGAAGUGUGCCGGAAUCAAAAUAUUCAAGAUAUAUUCAAGAAAGAUUUGUAUUUUUAAUCUGGGAGUUUAAAAUUUUACGCUCAAAAUGUGAAUUUUGCUUAGAAAACGUCUCAUUUAAAAACAAAAGGCAAAAUGGGAAAUUGCUGGAUUUCAAAUAGGAGAAAAAAUAAACAGCAAAUAUCUACCUUAGACCCAACACAGCCCUAGCUUAUGCAUUCCAGUUUGUCUUGAUGGACAUCAUCUGGCCUUCGUGUGUUCUGUACUGUAGAAAUAUGCAGACUCCAGCAAGUAUCCAGUGAGAGAGAAGAAGUUGUUUUACCUGAUUUAAUAUAAGUACAGGAAAAGGAUUGCUUUAAGCAAAUAAGAAAUAUCUGCAUCAGGCCCUUCUCCAGAGAGGGUGUGCGCCUUGCUUCUAUGGCUAUUGCCAAGAGGAAGGAGAAACCUCUUAUACCUGUAACACAGAGAGACGAUACUUUAAUUCAGUGAAAACUGGGACUUUCCUAAUCCCUGUUCUGAUUAAGUGGGAUUUUAAAGAGCUCUAGUUUGCAAGGCAUAGUUCUUUUCCUUCCACACAGGAUUCAGUAGUAUCCAGUCUCUGUCGUUCAAAAGGGAAAUUAAGCCUUGCUAGCCUGAAGGGAGAAGCGAAGCCAUGCUAGAGAUAUGCAGGAAGUGGCCUUGAGUUAACUUUUCCAUUAUAUUGAGACUAAAUUUAUGAACAUAGGUUUCCACAUAUUUUUUCAGGUUUCCAGGGCUAUGCUUUGUUAUUAAGGAGCGGUCUUUUGAUUAACUCAGCUUCUUCAUUUGUAGCCAGUGUUAAAUUUACUGGCCUGAUUUUUCAGCUGAAGUGUUUUAUCACUUGUCUUUUAUGGUUGUCAUAAUAAUAAUAAUAAUAAUAAUAAUAAUAAUAAUAAUGCUGUUUUUUAACAUAUUAAUUAGAUUGCAAGCUGCCAUAGGCAUUUCUUCUGAAAGGAAGGAUAAAAAUCUUUUGAAGGAAGCAAAUAAAACCAACAAUAUCCAGAGAUCCUAUACUUUUAUAGAGGUAGUUUUGUUGAUGGAUGCAAAACUGUCCAGAAAUAAAGUGAUAAAAGAAGCUACUUUCCCCUAAAAUGUAAGUUUUCUUUUCUUUAUCAUGUGCUUUACAGACUACCGUACAUCCUCCAAAAAGAGCUAUGCCCAUUUUUGAGACUAUUCUUCAGCAGCAAGGUUAGUUCUGCCCCCUUUCAUAACAUGAAGACGUAUCAGCGCAGAAAAUGUCCAGUAGGAAUAAAAAUCUGAAAUAGUGUGAAAGGAUCAGUCAGUUUGGGUUCUCUCCAUUUCCCAUUUUUCCAAUCAAAAAUUCAGUUCUCCAUAUAUCUGCAAUUUGCAAAUUAUUAUUUUUUACAUCCUCAUAGAAUUCUUCAGCAUUUUAGGGCAAAUGUCUUCUAAUAAAUAUAUUUUUCAAUGCAGUUUUGACUAAUGUGCAGACUGUAAGCAACUUCUCCUAGAACUAUGCAUUUUUGUAUAUUAUAUUCUGUAAUAUAUUCAUUUUUUUGGUAAACAUUGGUUGGAGAACUGCAUUGUAAAAAAUUGGAUUAGGUGCAAAUUUUGAAGGAUGCCCAUUUUUCAGUUCUCAUAUUGUUUCUGGAACAUGCAAAUUUGAUAAAUGUGAACUGAACUGAUUCUUCCCCCAUCCCUACUCUGGAGGAAAACGGGGUUGCUACGAUGGAAGAGGACCUCUAGCUUAAGGUAAACUUUGGGCUAUAGCUUCUUGGCCUCUUGGCUGAGAUCAAGGUUCAUUUGUGCUACUGCUAAAAUAACUGAAUGUUAUGUCUAAUAAGUCAAAGAUGCGAGUUCACAGUGGUGUCAGGGCCAAUGGCUGACAGAAAUAAUUCCACAAUUGUUCAUAACACAGGGUCUACAAAAACAUUUGUAGAUGCUGACCUCCAUCUCAGCAUGCUAUUUCCACUGACAUUUGACCCUCAUGGCACUUAUACAAGCUACAGUGAUUCCUCUGGGUUGCUACAUCCAUUUUUUAAAGCUUUUCUAAUGCAGCCUCAUAAGAAAAAGCAAAACACACUUAGGCUCUCAUACAGAUAAUGUACACAGAGCAUUUUGGUGGGUACUUCUGUACAUGUUAGAAUACCAUGAAAAGCACAUGCCAAAAUGUAGUUGUCCCCCAAAAUCUAUUUUGAUGUAACAUCUGCAACCCACCAGAAGGCAUUUGAAGUAAACCUGUGAUUACAGAUAUAGAAUACUUUGGAAAAUGAAUGAUUUAAUGCUAUUAAUGGCUACAAGUCAAAAUGGCUGCGUUCUACCUCCACUGCCAGAUUCUUCACUCUGAGUUUGAGCGUAAUAUCUAAUCCUAUCAUGGCACCCAGUUAUACCAAUACCAAAACUGGCUGAAAGCCUGAAAGCACUUUUCAUGAAUUGUCCUGUUGAAACCUAUAGGUAUUACAUUUAAUACUUAUGCAAUGGUUUCAUGAUUGUGGCCAUUUCGGGCAUGUUGAGGCUGCUGCAUUCCUUUGUCAUUAGUCUUAAGUGUGGGAUGCUCUUCUGGGUAGAUUAACAUUUCUAAUCCUUUGAUUGAAUAAUAUUAGUAAGACUCAGAAUCUAUACUCUCCAACAUUUCUCCAAAUAGGGACAUUCCAUUCCAUAAUGAUACUUUUUACUAUUUAUACCCCUCACAUCUUACUGGGUUGCCCCAGCCACUCUGGGCAGCUUCCAACAUAUAUAAACACAUAAUAAAACAUUAAACAUUAAAAAAACCUUUCCUAUACAGGAUUGCCUUCAGAUGGUUUGGAGGUCAGAUAACUCCAUAUCCUCCAACAUUUCUCCAAUGAAAAUAGGGACGUCCUAAGGAAAAGCGGGGCAUUCUGGGAUCAAAUCAGAAACCAGGAUGGCUUCUCUGAAUCAGGGACGUCCCUGGAAAAUAGGGACACUUGGAGUGUCUGAGAAUCAGUUCAUAAUUCUACUGACAAGGAAGAGGAUGAAUUCCCCUGCCCAAUAAUACUAGAGCAAUGUAUUUUACAGCCUAUAAACUAGAUAAAACUGUGUUGAUCUCUUGAUUAAUCUACAGGUGAAACAUUGUACCCUAAGUUUGGGAAGUUGGAAAGGCCAUAGGCUGUGAAGAAGGUCUUGGGAAGGCCUGUAGCCCUGUGCAUCUGCCUUGCCUGCGGAAAGACCCAAAUUCAAUUCCUGGCAUAUUCACGUGGGGCUGGGUGAAAGGCCUGCUUGAAUUCCUGGAGGACUUCUGCUAGUCAGUGUGAAUACUGAGGCAGAUGGACCAGUCCACUGACAGUGUCCUAUGUUGAGUUUGUUGUGGGUCAUAAUUAGAAUUGUAUUAAUUCUAACUCCUCCUCCUCCUCUGGAAAUACUAUUUGGGGACACUUACCAAGUUAUAGUACACUUCCUGUGCUCCUGUGUUGAGUGACACUGAAAGCUCACUGUUCAUAGAUUUGUAAAAGGCUCGCUCUUCAUCAACAUUUAGUCCAUUGCCUAAACAUCAGUCAGAAGGCAAAUUUACACAUAGAUAUUAAUUUGUUGAUUACUGUAUCAUCUAGAGAUGACAUGUAUGUGUGAACAGGCCACGAAAGAUAUAACACAGUCACUUUCCUGUCACACCAAAUGCAAUGCUUCUCAAUGGAGUUAGUUCAAACAACCAGAUGCCAGUGCAGGAAUCAUGUUUAGAGAAAUGAAUUUGCAGAUGUGAAGCAAGUCUCCACUACACAUAUUUCUAUAACUGCAUUCUGGAGAUUGUCCAUUUUCCCAUUUACAUAUGCUGGGAAGAUCGAAUUUUCACAUAUGAAAUAAGAAGCCUUGGUUCAAGAGCCUUGGUCUUAAAAAAGCAAAACAAAACAGUGUAUAGUUUACAUGCCAAUAAACUAGUUGAUAUGUUUUUAUAGGGACUAGACCAGAUAUUACAAAACCUUUUUGCAUGGAGUAGCUCAAGUGGGCUUGUGGAUAUAGUCAUAUGGAGGAUAAUAAUAAUAAUAAUAAUAAUAAUAAUAAUAAUAAUAAUAAUUUAUUAUUUAUACCCCACCCAUCUGGCUGAGUUUCCCCAGCCACUCUGGGCGGCUCCUAAUCAAGUGUUAAAAACAGUACAGCGUUAAAUAUUAAAAACUUCCCUGAACAGGGAUGCCUUCAGAUGUCUUUUAAAGAUAGGAUAGCUGCUUAUUUCCUUCACAUCUGAAGGGAGGUUGUUCCACAGGGUAGGCGCCACUACCAAGAAGGCCCUCUGUCUGGUUCCCUGUAACCUCACUUCUCGCAAUGAGGGAACCACCAGAAGGCUCUCGGCGCUGGAUCUCAGUGUCCGGGCUGAAUGAUGGGGGUGGAGACGCUCCUUCAGGUAAACAGGACUGAGGCCGUUUAGGGCUUUAAAGGUCAGCACCAACACUUUGAAUUGUGCUCAGAAACGUACUGGGAGCCAAUGCAAUCUCUCAGAACCAGUGUUAUGUGGUCCUGGCGGCCACUCCCAGUCACCAGUCUAGCUGCCGCAUUCUGGAUUAAUUGCAGUUUCCGGGUCACCUUCAAAGGUAGCCCCACGUAGAGCGCGUUGCAGUAGUCCAAGCGGGAGAUAACUAGGAUGUAACUCAUAGAACCACCACUUCAAGGCAAGCAAUGGUGGACUAAAGUGAUAGCUUUAUCUGCAUGGACCAGGCACAAUGCCCUUUACAUGAUUGUGUUAGUGUGCUCCCCAUGGACUAAUUUACUACAGAAUGAGUCCUAAUACAGCAUUGACAUAGUACAGUGAUGGGAAACCUGUGGUCCUUCAAUUGUGGUGGUCCUUCAACCCCAGUCAGCACAGCCAAUGGUUACGGGUGAUGAGUGUUGCACUUCUGGAGGGCCCUCAUCCCUGGCAUAGGAUAUAUCUUUAGACAAAGUGGAGAAUAAAGAAGGUGGAAGCUUUAUUUCUUCUAUCAGUAAUAAUAGCUUAGAGCUUACCUUGUGGUGGUGAUAUGCUUUAUCUGUGAAAUUUCAGGACAGGAUGAGCCAAUGUAUGUCUGCACUUUCCAGGAAGGCGAUGCUUAACCCCAAACAAAACGUUUGCCAGCUCAUCCCACAGUUCUGCAGACUUAGAGACAAAAGCUUAACUAUUCUUAAAUGGAAAAACCAACUUCAUACAAUAGUGGUUAGGACAAUCCAGGAAGAAAGAAAAAGGAACAAUGAAUGUACUGAUCUUCUAUUCAGUUCUUAGAAUGACAUGCACUGGAAUUUCUCACAACUGAUCCCUUGCAAACAGCAUGGCUUUUUGGAGUCAAGAAAUGAAAAAAUAGUUAAGGUUAUACAACCUUAUACAAGCAUGGAGUUAUAUAGGAAAAGAAUACAGCUCAAUGUCAUUUUAGCAAACAAAUUAGUAUGUGAUAACACUCUAGGACUCUGCAAAUCUGGAAAUGUUCAUGAUUUCUUAGUGCAAUGAAGAAUAGUGGAAACAUGUAAUUAUGAGCUGAUAUUGUUAACUGGAAAAUCGCACGGUCUGAUAGCAUUGCUGACUCAAAAGAAUGGGAUUUAUGAAUAAUUUUGAUCCCCAUGAAAUGCUUUUUCCUUCAGUGUUAGGCAUUUUCAGAAGCUUUUAUGUACUAUCACCAACAACUAUUAUAAUACAAAUGGUAUCUGAAACAAAAUGUUGCAGUGUGAAAUGAUCCUAUUCAGGGUUCCAGCCAGCCUGCCAGCCAGACUCCAUUCCAACUUACCUCAGUUCUCUGUUUCUCUUUUCCAACUGAGAUUCAAUAUUUCAUGACUAUUGAACAUGGCCAGUCCUCAUCUUUGAGUUCUUCCUGCAGUACGGUUUUUAUUAAUCUCAUGCUCUAAGUAGCAGAUAGUCUGAAUGGCUCUGCACUUCCAGAUUCAAUCUUGGCUCUUUCCUCUUUUUUCCUCCGUGAGACAAAAUACAGUGGUACCUUGGGUUACAGAUGCUUCAGGUUACAGAUGCUUCAGGUUACAGACUCCGUUAACCCAGAAAUAGUAUCUCGGGUUAAGAACUUUGCUUCAGGAUGAGAACAGAAAAUGUGCUCCGGUGGUGCGGUGGCAGCGGGAGGCCCCAUUAGCUAAAGGGGUAUCUCAGGUUAAGAACAGUUCCAGGUUAAGAACGGACCUCCAGAAUGAAUUAAGUUAUUAACCUAAGGUACCACUGUAUAUAUGAAGUCUUACUGUUUCUGUUUUGCCCCCCACCUUGCCACCUGAGGGUGUAAUUUCUCAAGCUUUUUCUUAUUCUGCAAAUCUCAAGUUUCCUUCUAGCAUGUUAAUAUUACCCUCCCUCUUCUUUUUGGGUGCUUCUGUUUCACCUUCAGAAUGAUGGGCAUGCAUACCUGAAUUUCACUAUUAAUUGGAACGAUUGGGAAAUUGUGCAAUUUUGCCGAUGUGUGUGAAGGGACAAUGCGCUCCACUCCUAAAGCACUGAAGAACUAAAUUGAUGGUUUGCUUGUUCCCAGAGCUGCCAAUGUGUCUCUACACACACGUGUGAACACAUACCUGAACACACACCUAUUCGUGGAAAAUGCUGUGUGCUCAUACACAGACAAGGCUUCCUUGACAAAGAUUUCCUUCUCACUCUGUGGCAUUUAGCACUAACCAAUAAAAAGCCAAAGGGACGCGGGUGGCGCUGUGGGUUAAACCACAGAGCCUAGGACUUGCCAAUCAGAAGGUCAGCGGUUCGAAUCCCCGCGACGGGGUGAGCUCCCGUUGCUCGGUCCCUGCUCCUGCCAACCUAGCAGUUCGAAAGCACGUCAAAGUGCAAGUAGAUAAAUAGGUACCUCUCCAGCGGGAAGGUAAAUGGCAUUUCUGUGCGCUGCUCUGGUUCACCAGAAGUGGCUUAGUCAUGCUGGCCACAUGACCCGGAAGCUGUACGCCGGCUCCCUCGGCCAAUAAAGCGAGAUGCGCACCGCAACCCCAGAGUCGGCCACAACUGGACCUAAUGGUCAGGGUUCCCUUUACCUUUAAUAAAAAGCCAAUAUUCGUGUUUUUGCUCUGGAAUGCUAGAAAUAAACACAAUGGGGUUACAAAUUUAUUAUUUAUUUAUAACACAUAGAACAGUUUAUGAAUAAUAAUAAAAAUCCCCAAUGACUUUUGCAGGUUGACAUGUUGCUUCAGAAAUAUAUUGCAUUACACAAGCUAAGCCACCCAUGUUGCCUGAACCAUGCAAGGCUACAAUUGCAGAGAUUGCAGCAGGGUGUCCUAGAGGUGAAGAGUUGCCUUAUAUGGAAAUAGGAGGUGGAGCUGUAGGGCUUUACUAUGGGGAAAAGAUGUGGAAUCAGGAAGGAAAAAGCAUUAGUUUUCCCAAUCUUGCAAAACUUUAGCUUUCCUGAUCUUGGCAAAAGGCCUUGGCAAAAAGUUUCCUCACAGCAACCUAGAGAUGUACCACCAUGUAUGGGCCAGGUGAUGUAUUAAUGGUUCUGUCCUUUCUAUUUUAACCUUGGGAAAAUAUUCUGCUUUUAGAAAUAUAUCGAUGGCUGUCUCUGCCCAGAGGAUUCCUGACUAGUUCAGAGGAAAAUAACAAACAUGGUUCAGAGGCAGGAAAAGUGGAAAGGAAGGAGGCCAGGAAGGAUCUAGCUAAAGUUUAGAGAGAGAAGAGCCAAUGUCUUUUCAAAAUACUGUAUAUAUUUUUGUUGCAAAAUUACAAAAGUAGGUAACAAUAACUCUGGAGAGAGAAAAUUCAUCAUGUGGUGUAAUAUUAUACAUAGUCAAGUUCAAAGGUAUUAGCCAAUUUUCACAAAGGGAUACACCAUAUGAAAAAAUGGUUUGGAGCAGCCUCCUGGUGUAUGUAUCUGUACAUAUGUAUAGAAUAAUAUAGUUUACUACAGUAUAAUAUACUUUAUAUAUAAACAAAACAGUGAUACAAUUGUGAAUCCAGUUAUAGUAAACACCUAUUGUGUAACCUCAUCCUGAAUUUGAAAUGUCUUUUUCACAAAAGAUCUCGGCUUGGACCUGAGUGCCAUUGCAAAACAAAAGGAAAACAAAUUAUGCAGCUUCACAAGGCAUGUCAAAAGACACAAUGACGGAUUCACUCUUUAACAGACAUUUGCACCUGUAUGGAUUUCUAUUUACGGUGCAUCUGUUUGCAAAACGCAAGCCUGUCAUCACACUUUACAUUUUUAGGUACACAUAGAAAACAUUUUAGUUCUUGAGUAUGAAAAAGUCUAUAUGUGAAGUAGCCUUUAUUUGUCCCCAGCUUUAGUCAAAGAAGAAUAGGCUAAACUAUCCUGUACACCAGUUAUUUGUUUUUGCCGUUAACACUGUUCUCAAGCCUUCACGGAAGUUGCAUGCUACAAGUCUGUUAUUUUAAUUAUCACGUUUCCAUUUUUCACCAGUUUGCUCAAGCGUAAUACAAUAAAACGAUUAUGAAUGGGGCAGAUGAGUGAACACUGACCGCAUAAUCAUAAACAGUGGGUGAUUCAUACUGGGCAGACACAAAAUUAAGCUUAUCAGGGGGACUACUCCCAGGAGGUAUCUGGUUGUCAGACAAUUGGCUUUUCAGUAAGCAUGAUUUCUUUACCAGAGCUACGCCUUCCUGUCAUGCCAAGGCAGGUAGAUCUAAUCAUUCUCAUUCAUGGUGGUUAGGAAACCUGAUGGAAUAAUCCAUCCUGAAUGUUCUUCUCCAGCUCUGUAUACAUUUGGGAGAGCAAAAUAAUUUCCUUGCUGUAGCAGGCCAAGAUCCAUCAAGACCAACAGCAUUCCCUCUCCACCUGUGGCAAGUGUGAGGCUGUCAUGGCUACCAACCAAGACCAGCCUUAUCAUCAGGCAAAUGGAGGUGGCCACCUCAGGAAAACCUAGCAGCUUCCCCACACCCUGCAAAUUCCCAACAUGGCUGCACAAGUAAUUCCUCCUAGGUAGAUGUGGUGCACCCUGCUGGAAAAUGUGAUGGUGAGGACAAAGCAUGCACAAAACCAAAGGAUAUACAGUGGUACCUCGGGUUAAGUACUUAAUUCGUUCUGGAGGUCUGUUCUUAACCUGAAACUGUUAUUAACCGGAAGCACCACUUUUGCUAAUGGGGCCUCCUGCUGCUGCCGCGCCGCCGGAGCACGAUUUCUGUUCUCAUCCUGAAGCACAGUUCUAAACCUGAAGCAGUAUUUUUGGGUUAGCGGUGUCUGUAACCUGAAGCGUAUGUAUCCUGAAGCGUAUGUAACCCAAGGUACCACUGUAUACUGGACCUUACAGCAAAUGUUCAGUUUUGGCCUCAUUUCAAUUUUUUUGAGUUUCAUUUUGAGUCGCAUAUUUUCAACACCACGGAAAGAGGCAGCAGGUGGCAUGGAAUUGUGGGUAAGUGUUCGUCAACCUUAAAUCACCAGAUGUUGUUAGGCAACAACUCAUAUCAACCCCAGCCAAUAGUCAGGAUCCAGGGAUGAUGGGAGCUGUAGUCCAAUGGCAUCUAGGGGUAGGUUGAAGAAUAUAAUCGGUGUCGAUUAUAUUUAAUCUAUCUUCUGAUAUGAAAUGAAAUAUUCAGGGGUUCUAUGAACCUUGAUGGAAGGGAUCACCAUUUGCUGCUCGGUCUCAGGCAGCAAAAUGUCUUAGGCCAGUGCUGCUAUCAUCUCUGAAAGUUUGUUGAUCAGUCCUUGAGGCAUUCAGCUGUCCUAUUUUUUUACACCUUGAAUUGCAAGAAGGCCUUUGUUAUAGGGAUUCUUGGUGCCCACAGCUGGAGAUCUACAAAGGUGAAGGCUGCUAACCAGGCUUGUAUUGUGGCCUGACAGGUACCUGACUUGGUUCUUGCAAUUCCAUUAAUGUUACCAAAACAGGAGAAUUACCACAUUUUUUGCUCCAUAAGACAAACUUAGUUUUUAGAGGAGGAAAGGGGGAAAACCCCGGUUUUUGGGGGGAUCAGCUCACAGUUGUGCAGCUUCUUUUGCAAAGGGGAAAAGCCCCAAUUUUUGAGGAUCAGCUCAAAGUUGUUGAGCUUACUUUGCAAAGGGAAAAAAUCCUGUUUUUAUGCAGUUCAACUCACAGUUCUGCAGCUUCUUUAGGAAAGGAAAGGGAGCCAUUUCUACAUUUUCCAGACAGAUAAUCUAAUCAGCCAGUCGCAUGUCGCUGGGGAAACAAACAGCCUCUGUCUGUAGAACAUUCAACAAUGGAGGCCUGGGCAAGGGGGCGGGGCCAGAAAGGGAGCCAGCUAUCGACCACACAUUCACUCCAUAAGACUCACAGACAUUUCCCCAAACUUUUUAGGAGGAAAAAAGUGUGUUUUAUAGAGCAAAAAAUACGGUAAUAUCCCACCUUUAUUCCAAUGAACUUGAGGCAGCAUACAACACUAGAAAAGGUUGUGGGUUGGCAUAACUAGAGGUCACAGCCCAGCUGCUGAAGGAGAUUAUAAUAUGCUAGGUGCCUUUGUAUCACUUACGACCAAUCCAAUCAGGCUAGUGAUUGUGUCACUGGGGGAAAUUUUGUGCAACUAAUAACAAAGGCAAGUGAUGAUGUUAGGAAAAAUACUAGAAAGUCCCGUAGUACCCCGUUUGGUUGUUUGGGAUAACCAGCUGGUCCAGAUACCAGUCAGAUCUAUUAAGUGGUGUUUCUUAGCAUUGCAAUGCAGUUGAUAACCUCUCACUUUGCCAGUUCAGUUAGUCUCAAGUUAGUCAGGAAAAUAGUUGAAAAGGGGGCGACAUUUUUCUACUAAUUGGAAGAAAAUUAUUUAGGAUACAUUCCAUGAAUUCACUGUUAAUUUUUAAAAUAUAUUUCAUUAAGAUUUAUAUUAAUAGAACAUGCUAAUAAAAAGGCAUAAGAGUUAUGCGGUUUUUUUAUAUUCAAAACAUAUCUCUUUCCCCUGACACACAUUUCUAGGCCAUCUAUUUAUGGUCUAUCUAGAAAAGGUAAUGAGAAGGCAAACCCAGUGCUAAGGGUGAGAUGCAUUAAAAUGCAAAUAAUGAGUCCCAUUUUGAUCAGCGGCUGUAGUUUGUGUUGGAUAAAAAGGCACCCAAGCAGUUUUCCCUUUGCUACUGUGACGGGUCACUGUUUCUAAUCUCAGGGUCAUGUCCAUGUUCUACUCUUCAUAAUUGCUUAGGCUGACAUCUAUCUUGACCUUUAUUUACUUUGCCCAACUAAGGCACUGGGGGGUAAGGAGGUCACAUAAGCAAGAGGUAUCACAAAACGUAAUGAGAGCAAAAGAAGGAGGAAUCAAACUCCUUUAGCAUUUGGUGCAGGUAUUUGCACAAUGUGCUGCAGCUUAGUAUUUUAACCCCUUCACAGCACAAACAAUUCUCAUGUUUUCUUGGGACUCAAAAGAGCUUUGCCCCCUUUUCUAUUAAAUCAGGGAUGGGGAAGUUGCAGCCUUUUAACUCUGACUGGGACUACAACUCCCAUCAUUCCUCCUACUGGAUGCGACUGAUGGGAGUUGAAGUCCAACAACAGCUGGAGGUCUCCAGGUCCCACAACCUGGUUUUAAAUAGUAUUGAUAUUUAGUCUUGUGUACAGGCUCCAUUCACUACAGUGAGGCUGGCGCAGGAGACAUUCAUACUGACGCCAUACUUCUAGGUCUAUAAAUUACUAUGAAAUAAUCGCAACAUUUCAUUUUAUGACUGGUAGCAAAUGAGCCAACAAUACACCUGUUUGUUUGUUUUUUUAAUCUCCCCAUGCCCCCCCAAAGGCUUUCUGUUUCUUGUUAAAGGCAUCCCCAUUUCCAUUGCUAUUCUUUAUUCAUCUGCAUACUUAAGGUUUCGUUUUUGACAUUUACUAGACAUAGCUUUCAGCCACCUGAGUCUUGGAGGAUUUCUUCCUCAUGGUGUUCAUUGCUUCUCCCAGUGUUAAUUAUUGUGUACUUAAACACCCAAAUCUAAUCUCACAGACAAAUAUAAUAGAGAGAUUCAUGGAGGCUACUAGACUAGCCAUGAAGCCAAUGCUCUGCUUUGAUGAUCAGAGGCCUUAUGUUUCCGAGCACAAUUCAAAGUGUUGGUGUUGACCUUUAAAGCCCUAAAUUACCUCGGCCCAGUACACCUGAAAGAGCGUCUCCACACCCAUCUUUCUGCCUAGACGCUGAGGUCCAGCACCGAGGGCCUUCUGGCAGUUCCCUCACUGAGAGAAGCAAAGCUACAAAGAACCAGGCAGAGGGCCUUCUUGGUAGUGGCACCUGCCUUGUGGAACGCCCUCCCACCAGAUGUCAAAGAGAAAAACAACUACCAGACUUUUAGAGGACAUCUGAAGGCAGGCCUGUUCAGGGAAGUUUUUAAUGUGUGACAUUUUGAUGUAUUUUUAAUCUUUGUUGGAAGCCACCCAGAGUGGCUGGGGAAACCCAGCCCGAUGGGCGGGGUACAAAUAAUAAAUUAUUAUUAUUAUGAUAACCAGAUGCUGAAGAGGAGAGUGCCCUUGUGCUUGGGUCCAACUUGUGGGCUUCCCGUAGGCAUCUGGCUGGCAACUGUGAGAACAGGACACUGGACUAGAUGGGCCACUGGCUUGAUUCAACAGGCUGUUCUUAUAUUCUUUUGUCAACAUGGGAAUGACCAGAAGUCACGACCUUGCUACCUUCUUCACAUGUGGAGGAGAAAAACUGGAGAGGGCUUUUAACUAUAGGAUAGCCCCCUCUUUAGAUAUCAUAAUUUUGUUGUUGUUUUCAGCUACCUUAUUAACCUCUAUUUCCCUCUCUUCCUUUUUUUGCCAGCACGAUAAACUUUCCCAGGCAUGCAGCUUUGGUUGCUGAAAAAUGGGGGUGGGGUGGGGGCGGGGCAGGGAAUGAAUAGAUUUCUCAGCUUCCCACUGAGAACUGGCUUCCCAACCAAUGUGGGCAGCAGUUACUCAUAUAACUUGUCUGGAGGAAUUCAUUCUCAAACAACUGAUGGCUUUGCUCUCCUUAUGCCAUAUGCUCAUUGCCCUGAUGAUGUUAUGGCUUCAUGGGUGGUGCUAUCAGACUACUGUCAGAAAAAUAGUUCUUCAAUGAAAUCAUUGCUACUAGGAAGAAAAACUGGUUCACCCGAUAAAUAAAAAGUGGAAUUACCAUACAGCAGCUAUCAGCGCCUCUGACUCUUGUGGUAAGGAAUAGAUACCAGCGUAGGAUUAGCAAUGAGAUGUUUGGUAUCCCACUCUGACACAACUAAAAUACAAAGACCAAUUAAAAGCAACUAUAAGCAAAACCAUCACAAAGAUAAAAAUCAUUGGUUUCGGUUAAUUUGGUUGAAAUUUUUUGACUGAAUUAUUGACUGAAUAUUGCAGUUACCCAACUUUCUUGUCUUGAGUCUUCUUGAGUGUGUUGGCAAAGCAACUUUAUACAAAGUCAUCACUAAAAACAAAGAUAAAAAUCAGUAAAACAUUUAAAACAAAUAUUAACUAAAUCACAUGUUGGGGUAGGCUUGAUGGAACAGAAAGGUUUCCUGAUCUUCGGUCUAACGAAGGUGACACCCAGCUCUUUUUUUUGUUAUGUACAUGCAUAGGAAGAUAGGCAGUCAUGUUAUUCUGAAUCAGACCAUUGGUUUGUCUAGCUCAGUAUUGCUGCCCUCUGGAUUUUAAGGCAGAAUAUCUUUCCAGCCCGACUUGGAAACGUGGGGAUUGAAGUUGGGACUUUCUGCAGCCAAAGCAGUUGCUCUGCCACUGAGCUUUGGCUCUCCCCGCAUACUGUGACAAUGACUAGAAAGUUUCUAUAAUGCAAUAAGAGUAGGAUUGUUGUUUUUUUGUUCAUGGCAGUUGUGAAAGUUCAGGAGGGUGAGAAAAAGGACAAAAAACCAACUGCAAGGUCUCUUUUAAAUGUACAUAAGUAACUGACCAGGGAGCACCAUGUGGACUAACCGUAAAUGGAUUUGAUUAAAGAAAUCCAGUUUAAAAAGGACUAUAGAUAAUCUCCUGACAAACAUUGCAUAUUGCUUCAGGUUCUCCUGUAAUAAAAAUGUUGUAGUAGCACAACAAUCCUUGAAAGCAGGAAAUGAAAGAGUCAGGGCUGGGCAUUUUCCCUUUCUCAGGGCAAGGUUCCAUUGUAAUGUAUUAAAAGGAGGAGAAGAAGAAAUCUUCUGUAAUAUUCAUAUGAUUCCAGCAAAGUAAAUCCUAUCAAAACAAAGUCAUGUCAUUCCAAUCCCCAUGCCUGACACAGGGCGGCUAAAUAAACACACAGCUCUCCUGUGGCGUUUCCUUCCCUCUCCCCCUGCAAAAUCUCAGUUGCUCAGCAGGACAGGUGUGUUGGCGGGGUGCCAUUUUGCCCAAAGGGACAGACUGGAAGAUACUCCAUUUGAUACAGCUUCCCACAUGGAUUUGAAAGCAAGAGGAUGCUGAGAGGUGCUUUAGCUUCCUGAUCUGGAUUGUAAUGCAUGAGAUGUUUGCGGUGGUGGAGAGGUGAUGCUCUAGCUUCCUGGCAGUGAUUGGCUGGGCUGCCAUGAUGUCACUGAAGGGUGAUAGCAAACAGAAAGGUCUCUAGCUUCCAUCACUUGACCUGCUUAGAUCCCACAGACAGGGGCGGACUUUGGUAAUACUGCACCCUGAACGAAGACAAACGUUCGUGCCCCCCCAUCUGUUCUGCACAUGCUCUGAAGUGCUUUACAUCAUAGUUUUGCGCUCCCUUGGCUCAGUGCUCUGUGUGGGGGUAUUUCCCACCCCACCCCAAAUAUGGUGCUGCUAGAGAAGGUUAGAGCAAGCAAGGCAUGCAGAGUAGUAAAAGUAGUAGUAGUAAACAGUGCCAAAUUAAACCUGUAGAGGCCACUAAGAAGUUGAAAUCUCGGGGGGGCCCUCACAAAUUAUUUUCUAAUACGUUUUGGAUUUUACCAACCAGAGAACAAUUUUAAUAAACCAAUUUUAUUACAUAAUUUUUAAUACGUUGUUGAAGGACCCCUAAAAGGCAUGCGUCCCAUAGGCCGGUGCCUCCUCUGCCUAUUUGGUAAUCCGGCACUGGUACUAGAAGAUCUAGAUAUAGGAAAUAGAUGCUAAAAUGGUAGCAAGUGAAGAGGUUGGCAGAGGGAGUGGCUAGAAUGAAUAAGGGGCAGAACAGAGGAAGAAACUGGAGAACUGUAGAGAGUGUGGGCAGCUAUACAUGAUCAGGAGUUGGAUAGGGAAGGAAGACUGAAGUCCAUGUUCUGAUUUGAAAUAGCCAAACUGUUGGCUCCUGCCAUUGAGUAUGUGCUGGAAUGCAAGGCUGCAUGCACACUAGACCUUUAAAGCACAUUUGAUGCACAUCCCCCCAAAAAAAUAAUUCUAGACACUGUUUGUUAAGGGAUGCUGGGAAUUGUAACUCUGUGUGGGGUAAACUACAGUGCUUUCCAUACAGAAGAUUCCAGUUUCAAUCACUGGCAUCUCCCUGUGGCAGACUUUGUGCUGUUAAAUUUCAGUGGCCUAUUGUGUGACACUAAAAUCCAGCACCCCUACAACCUCUUGGCCUCUAUUCUACAGCAUAGCUUGUGGCAACCCCAGUGCAGCCAAACUGGUCGUGCUACCCUAAAAACACCUUUGUAUCUCCACUUAAAAAGGAUCAGGGAGCAGAUCAUAUAAAACAUCUAUGAUUCUAUCUCUGCCCAAGACCCUGGAGUGCUGUUGCGAGUCAGAAUUGACAAUACUGGGCUGCAUGCACAAAGCUUGACUUGAUAUAAGGUGCUUCGUAUGUCUAGCACUUAAUUUGUCUUUGGAUAUCAGUUGUUGCACCAUGGCUAGUAGGGGAAGGAUAACAUGCAGAAGAAUGACAUCUGGACAUGAGAAAAAUCAUUGUAGUGGAGGUAGGUUGUCUGAAGGCUGCCAUUUUCAGAGGCAGCCUGCCUUUAUUGGGCCUUGUAGUUCUAAACUCCUACCUUUAAAAUUGAUAAUGCAGGGAAUUAUUUAUCUUCCCCCCUCCAUUCCCCUGCCAACAACACAGACAGGGUCUUCUCUGGACUGCCAUCUGAAAUGUUUUAAUAAUAUGUUUGUCAGGGAAGAGGUAGGAUAACGAUAAGGGCAAUCUCAAGGAGGAAGGUUGGGAGAAGGGUGAGGAAGAAAAGGAAUAUUAGGAACCAUUUAAUCAGCUAGGUUAUGUUAGUUUUGGUUUCAUCUUGUUUGCCUUUGUAAUAACUACAGUUAUUCUCACACGGUGGCAUUUCUGUUUUCUCCAGGAUAUAUGUGCUGAAAUUGAAAAAAAAAAAUCCUAUUGAAUCAAAGCAUGUAACGAGAAAAUGUAAUCCACUGAUAUUAAAAAAAGGAGCUUACCUUUAUCUGGGUGUUAAAUAGUACAAAUCCGUGAGAGUCAGCGAAUGUUUUGAAGUCAAAACAAAGGGCAUUACGGCGGCUAAAGUGGAUUUGUCGAAGAAUUAUAUGUGAUACUUUAGGAAAGGUUUAAUAUAAGGUCUAAUACAAAGAACAUGGAGAGAGACGGAGGGAAGAAGAGAAAGCAAGGUGAAGGCCACUUAUUUGUUUUCUGCAUCUUUAAGCACUGCAGGGAAAUGAACAAUGAAAAAAUAGUCAACACUUAUCUUGCUGGACAUGUUUGGAAGAAAGGAGCCAUAGCUCAGUGGAAGAGCAUCUGUUUUGCAUGCAGAAUGUCCCAGGUUCAAUCACCAGCAUCUUCAGGUAAUGCCAGGGAUGUCUCCUGCUUGAAACCCUGGAGAUCCACUGCCAGUCAGUGUAGACGAUACUGAGCUAAAUGGACCAGUGAUCUAACUCAGUAUAAGGCAUGUUCCUAGAAUGAGAAACCGGUGAAUACUCUUGUAUGUUCUUGACUGCUUCUCUGGGCUAAACCAGACUUCCUUUUGUUCUGCAGUUUCCUGGCACAGGCCCACACUUUCCAGGUCCAGGUCUCAGCAUUUUCUUUUGGUCCUGCUGUUUUUCCAGGAAAAUCUGCUGUUUACCGCUGAAUUGGAACAAACAACAAUCUGCAGAAACCCCAAUUGCCACUUCUUCUGAUUCAGUGGUAAACAGCGGGUUUUCCUGGGGAAAGUGGUGAGAUAAAAAAACAAAAACAUGGACACGAAUCUGGAAAGCAUAUAGCAAAAGGAAGUCUGGAUGAGCCCUCUGCGAAUGGUGGGUAACAACAACAACAACAACAACUUUAUUAUUUAUACCCACCCAUCUGGCUGGUUUUCCCCAGCCAUUCUGGGCAGCUUCCAGCACAUAUAAAAACAUAAUAAAACAUCAAACAUUAAAAAGUGGGUACAAUAACCUACAUUGACUUUUCAGCAUAGAUAGAUGCUCUUUCAUCUUUGUCAGUGAUGAACAAACACUCUGUUGGGAUGGGGGGGGGAUUGGUGUUUGGGAUGACCAUUCUGGAGGAAGACUUAAUCCAACCAGCCGUCUAACAGCAUCCUUUUCUGUUUAAAAAGUAGAGAUCUGUGUGUGACAUCUAAUUUGUCCCUAAAUGUGUUAGAAAGAGAGAGACUUCUUGGACACAACCAGAUCUGUGCAUUUCUUGUUCUGUUCAGUGCUAUGACAGUCCCAAAAUAUAAGGCAGAUCACUUGGAUUAUUCUUGCAUUGUUGAAGUUUAAUUGCACUAGAAUAAAUGCAUACAUGGUGUAUCUCAUCUUCACAAUGUUGUUAUCUUCUUAUUGAAAUGAAAGCAAAUGUGAUUAUUCAAUUCCCAAGUAAAAUGUGCUGCCAUAGCACAAGCUUACUGCCAAAUUGAGGGCAGCUAGUCACUUGGGCCACUUUUACGUAAUUUAAUGAUCAGUUAAGAGCAAUUGAAGGUGCUCAGAUAAGCUACUGACCUUGAUCUUUUGCCUCUUCUUGCUACAUGAAAAGCCAGCGUGCCUGCACUCAAACACCACUUUAUCAGUUUCCUGAUAAGGAAACAUCUAUUGUGCAUUCUUCCUAUCUACUAGCUGGGAGCCUGGGCCAUGAAGAAUCAAAUUUGCCUAUUCUGUGCACACUGCUUAAAAGACUCUCAAGCAGUAAAUUAUGCCUGACUUCAAAGGCAAGCCUCACCAAGCCUCAAAUUAAACCAUAAUGGAAGAAAAGACCAGAAGCAAUCAUUAAUCUUGCUGAAGGCCAUAUUUUUCCAUACAGUGCAUACUUUUCAGGCACUAGGCCCAUACAGAGAAAAAUAGUUCACCACUGUGCAUUAGAUUUUGGAAACUAGCUGGGUCAUUCUGCAAAUAAUAAUUUCAAAUUAGCAGAAGAGACAUAUGUAGCAAAAGAACACAUCAUUGUCAAGCUUCAAUUUGGACCCUGAUUCAGCACUUUAGGAAACAACUGACUUCAUUCCGAAGUGCUUCAUAGAAUGCAUAAUUCGGUUUGGGGUCUGUCCAAAUCUGCUUCAUUUCUUCCUCCACUUCACUUUUUUUUUUGGGGGGGAGUGAAUGGCUUUAAUUUGAUGACAUUAACAGGCAUGCUAGCCCUUCUAGAAUGGACAGACUCUGCCAUAUUACAGUCAAAUAGGUCCAGGGGCAUUUGUGCUGGACACCUUUAAACUUUGAAUUUUUAAAGAGUAAACCAAUGAAUUGAAAUGAUCAACCCAUGUAGGGGGCCACAUACUUUGCCCGCAGUGCCCCCAUCUCUGCCUCCUUGGUUACUGAUGUUCCUGGUGUUGAGCUGGUAUGUUGAGUACAGACCUCCACAUGAUUAGGAACAAUGCUGUAUCAAACAACAAAAAUCAACAAAUGAAAUAUCUCUGCAGCAUCUCACAGCUUAUUUCCCUUUUAUCUCCUUGUUUAUGUCUCCCUACUUAUCUAACUGAUUUGCAGAGGCCCCAGAUCAUGACAUAAUUUAAUUAUUAGAAUAAUAAUUGGCUCUUGAUAGUUUCGUAUCAAGAAACUACUCCCUACCCCUAUUUUUUUUUGUGUUCUACUUUUGUUCUGCUUUGAGUUAUAAUACUUUCAUUUCCAUUAUUGCUGAUAGUUACUCUUUCAAAUAAUGGACAAAGUUCAUCAAAUGCUGACUGAAAAACGAAACAAGCCCCAAGCAUGUAACUGACUAGAAGGGAGUGUAUGGAAGGCUUGUGACUCAACUUCUCUGCUCCACCUCCCUGAGCAGUUCAGGCCCCUACUUUAUAAUACUGGAGACUCAGUGUCAAGAUUUAUUAUCUUUUUGCGGCUAGGAAGUCCUCCAGCUGGUGAUUGCACAUAUUUUUAAAAUGUAUGCACCAUGAAAAAGAAUGAGGGAAGUAGGGAAAAUAAAAUAAAAUAAGCCAAAGCAUUGUUAGCUGCCUUUUUUAUUGCAAAUAUUACAUUUAAUAAGGUUGGCAUGCCCUUCAAAAUUUAUUUAAUUAAUACUAUUUGCUCCAAGCCCAAAUUAUGACUUCCCACAUAUAUGACAUAUCUAAUGAACUGUGAAAGGGAAGCCGUUCAGAUGGUGACCAACAACCGAUGCUUAGUUAAUCUUUUAAAUAAACUGGAGCUCACAAUGUGUCCCUUUGAAGUCAUAAAUAAUGUAUAUUUUUCUUUUGACUUUUAAUAAGCCAGCAGAGUUCAUCUCACAGUCUCCAAACACAUAUAUUUUAUUAUGGGCCUCUGCAGUUUACUUUAAUUAGUGUGUCUGAGUGCUUUGGGAGACUUAGCCCUACUGAAAACAAACAGAGUCUAACCAUCUAUAAAACAUUAGCUCCCUUCGGUUUAUCCUGAUGCAGCCGAGCCUCAGUGAGAAACACAUGGUGUAAGUAAACACUCAUAAUUGCAUUAGAAUUCCCUGGCGUAUCGGUAAUUCAAGCUCAGCUUCAUGAGAUUGUCAAAGCAGUUAGAACAGGUUUACCAAUCUGAACGUCUUUGGGGAUUUUGUGAAAUUCCACUCGGAGAGAACUUUAAAUGACAAAUCUAAUAGAUACAGCAGAUGACAGAACAAGCCCUCAGAAGCUCCGAGAUGGAGGCAUGGUGUUAAAAAGAAAAGCUCCUGUGGUGAAAUUGAAUUCUUCUCAGAGUUUCUGAAAAUUGCCAUUCAUCAGUAUUUGAAUGCUCCGGAGAGAGUAGGUGUUUGCCUGUCCCAAUCUAACUUCCCCACAUUUCUAUUUAUAAAUCUAUCUUUCUUGAGUGUGAGAGAUUAUGGAUCUCAAAUGGUACAUGGAAAAUAAAGCAAACAUCUCAUAUAAAAGCAUGACUCAUUAGUUCUAGAGAAUGGUGGGUGUAAAGGCACAUGAUACAGCCACCAUGUAGCUUAGGAACCCAGUGGAAAACAUCUUGAGUUUCUGGGAAGAAAGGUGAACCAGGCAAGCAAGAAAAUAAGAUAGUUUUAAAGCAAUAUAAGAGUUACCACAAAGAUGAAGAAACUGGGGUAGAAGUCAUCUCAUGAUGGAGGCAAUAGCCAACUGUACUGGGUGAAUACAGUUGGCUAUUGGCUCUAUCCUGAGAUGACUUCUACCCCAGUUGAAUAUUCACAUGCAGCCAGACUUUUGCAAAUUGCUCCCCUUAUAUCUGAAUCACUGAAUAACCUAAAUUUGGAAACUUCCAAUAAAACAAAUGCCCCAAUUACAGUAUGGCCUAUAGUCUGAACCUGUACUGAACCAAUGUAUAAAACUGGUACACACCGAUGCAGCUUCUGGGAAGUGUCCUUAGAAAUCAGCAGUGGAGUGGGGAGAGAGAUGUUUGCAUGAGUGCAUUAUGGGGCAACCUGAACCUUUAAUAACUCAAUGGGAGCACUUUCUAUAGGGGUACUGUUAAGGUAUAUACAAUAUGACAGGCGGCACUGGGCAUGGCAAGAGAGUUGGUAGCCAUCAGGUGAUAUUAGGAUCUUAUGUCAAGAUGAAGGGGAAGCAAAUAUUGAAUAAGGAGAUUGCACUUUGUAGGGAAAACCCCCCAUUAUGCUGUAUAUUUGCCUUUUUUAUGUAAGAAAUUUAUCUAAAAUAUUUUAAGCUGGCCCCCUUCAUUGUGUGUGAAAUGUGGAAAUUUUCCCAUAAUAAAUGGAAUGUGUCUCUGCAUUCUAAAGAAACCUACUGGCUUGUUAGUAAGCCUAUUGUUAUUAUGGUAUUCAUACUGUAGAUGUAGCUGCUUGCCAGCAGAAAUAAGGGAAAGUUCAAACUGCCCUUGAAGUAUUUUGUCCAGGCUAGCUAUUGAUUAAUUCUAUGAUUCUAUCAUAAUUAUAGUGAAUGUGUAUUAAACUGAGGAUGGUUUCGAUUGCCAGUUGUUUCUAUCCGAUAAUGUCAAAGCAAUAAGCAAGAUUCACCCAAAGUUAAAUAUGUGUCCCAUCGAUUUCCAUGAGAAAAAAUUAAACACAUCCUGAUCUUGUGGAAAACAAUGGCAAUAAAAUGUGCUUUGGGUCUGGUUGGAUUAUUCUGGCUCUUUAUUUAUCUGUCUACAGACCAGUCAUCAACAAAGGAAUAUGAUUUGCAUUAAAUGCAAAGAUUGCACAAAACUGUUAAGAACUGCAAACACUUCAAAAGGAAAUGAUCCAUAUUGAAACAAAUUGUGAUUAACUGGAGUGCUGAGCUGAAAGCAACAGAAAGAGCCUCAGAAAAGAUGCAAUUAAUGGGUAGUCAGGAAGGCUAAAUGUACAAAAUGGAGACAGCAGAAAAGGCACAGGAACUGGUUAGAACCUCAGGUCUUCUAAGGACAAAAGAUUAAUCAUGGAUCUAGGACAGACACCUGAUUAAACACACUAGGCUGAAUCCAAACUAACUGUGAAAUUCAUACAUAUGUACUAGGAUGUAAGCCCCACUGAUUUCAGUGAAACUGAUUUUGAAAAGCCAUUUCCCACCAUGGAUUUAUUAGUAACUUACAUUAAAAACCAUCAACUUUAAAAUAUAAAUCCAGUGCCUGAUUAAUUGGGGCAACAUUUUAAUUGAUAAAAACCUUUUAAUUGAUUAAUUCAAUUGAUUAAUUGACUAUAUGUUUCAGCCAUAAGUGGAGCACAGUCUAGAAUAUGAUUAAGCCACAUGUUGGUAUAAAACGGGCAAAUUUCCAUUGAUUUGAAGCACUUGCUUAACUCUCGCAUUAAAACCAAUGGGGUCUAUAAGCACCGAGCUUUGGCAGGAUUAUAACCUAAUCUUUGUAUAUAAAACAGAAGUGUUAAUGGUACUUCACAGUAUUUGGGACUGCUUAUACUUCAGCUCUGUUGUGGCCACCAUAUUGUAAGAUGGAUACUCACAAACCGGCAGAGUUUGUGGAUGAAAUGAUAGAAAGUUUGAAAGGAUGCACCAUGAAAUUUGUCUGCAAAGGAAGCUUCUUCUUCUUCUUUUUCUCCUCCUCCUGUAUAUUUAUUGAAUUCCUUCCACAAAAAUAUUUUAACAAAGGAAGCAAAUUGACAUCAAAUGCACAAUAAAAUAAUAUGUGAAGUUCUCCACAAAGGUAGUCAUGGCAAAGGGGUGACAAGUGGUUAAGAGGUGCUGUCUCAGCAAGGGAGUCUCUUGAAACAAGAGAGAGCACAAGGUGUCCAGGUACAAGCAGAUUGUGUAUUAACAUACAAAAGAAAUGGAACCCAGAUUUCCAGGAACUACCCAGGUUGACCAUAUCUGUGAUUAGAGAUGGAUGAUUUUGUCUGUCACUUUCGAUGGACGUUUGGUUCAUUUCUUCCAGGCUUACUGUAAGUUCACUUCUCCACAUUUCCAUCAGGUUGUGAUUUUUUUAAAGUAAGAAAGUCAUCAAAAUCCCUCAACAUUUUCGUAUACAGUGGUACCUUGGGUUAAGUACUUAAUUCGUUCCGGAGGUCCGUACUUAACCUGAAACUGUUCUUAACCUGAAGCCCCCCUUUAGCUAAUGGGGCCUCCUGCUGCUGCCGUGCUGCCGGAGCACGAUUUCUGUUCUCAUCCUGAAGCAAAGUUCUUAACCUGAAGCACUAUUUCUAGGUUAGUGGAGUGUAUAACCUGAAGCGUAUGUAACCCAAGGUACCAUUGUAAUUUCCCCCUAAUAAAUAUAGGUUGGUAUGCAAUUUUACUGACUAUACACAAUUUUGCAAAGCAAUUCCCCUAAAAAUACAUUUUUGCAUGUUAUUUUCACAAAGCUGUUCAUUCUAAUGCACACUUUACUUCAGUAUAUGCAUUCUUACACACGUUACUUGGUUAGAGAACUGCAUAGCAAAAUAAGGAGAAGAGUGAAUUUCGAAGCUAGUCUUGAAGACAGCGAAAGAGUGAGGGAAAAUAACAAAGAGCAGGUGGCAAUGCAAGUACGGUACCUUUCAGGUAGAUCUACAGAUGGUUGGAAGACCUGGGCAGUGGAUCAAAUUGUCUAACAGAGAAAUUGAUUCUCUUUGUGUGGGUUUUAAGAACAAAUUGCAUAAAAAUCUUUGAGUGGCUGGAUUAAUUUGAGGGAAAGGUACCAUUGCUGAAAGUUGGGCAACAAUUCCUGCUAUCAAUAAUAAUAUACAUUAAGCAGGAAUAGUAAAUACAUAAUCAUGUACUUAAUCAAGGAAGUUCCCCCCCCCCCCAAAUGAGUGAGGAGUUAAGAGUGGAGUUUAGGAAGAUACAGUCUCUGAUUAAUAUAUUAUAUAAAAUUAUAUAAAAUGAUACCAAGCAGUAUAGAUGCUAUCAGAUUUGACCAUGUCUCUGGAAAGCUGAGUCUGAUGGGGCUGUUUCUCUAGGAGAAAUAGGUGCAAAAUAUGAGUGAUUAGGUCUUGCAGUUCCUGUGACUCAGGGAUCUUCCAACUCUAUAGAAUAUCUGUAUGGGAAAUAACCAAGAAAUGUACAAUGAGUUAUUUUCUGGUGGGAUGGGGGUGGGAACAUCCCCUCUAAUUAAUGGUUUUAUGAGUAAUUCUGGAGUGUUCCCGGAAAAUUUGUAACCUGCCACAACAUGACAGCUUCCAACUCGCUGAUUUUAUGAUGCAAUGGUUAUCCUUUCUCUCUGAUUGUCGUUAAAAUUGUCUGCUUCUACCUUGCAGAAUAUUCUUCCUGAAGAUUUGGACCUGUCUUCGUUGCAAGUUAACUUGGAGCAUAUGCUUCUGGUUCAUUGGCUCCCACGAAUUCAUGCUUUUGGUUCUGAUCAGUCGCC